ACGGAGGGGGUUAGCGUUGUUCGGAAUUACUGGGCGUAAAGCGCGCGUAAACGGACUAUUAAAUCAGAGGUGAAAUCCCGAGGCUCAACCCCGGAACUGCCUUUGAUACUGGUAGUCUUGAGUUCGAGAGAGGUAAGUGGAAUUCCGAGUGUAGAGGUGAAAUUCGUAGAUAUUCGAAGGAACACCAAUAACGAAAGCGGCUUACUGGCUCGAUACUGACGCUGAGGUACGAAAGUGUGAAAAGCAAACAGGAUUAGAUACCCGCGUAGUCC
rnacentral:rRNA from 1 species